rnacentral:ncRNA from 1 species
GCAUCGGUUGAGGGUUAUACCGCAGUGACUCAGUGUCAUACAUCCAAGGAGAGCGACGGCAGAUGUAUGGACGGUGC